rnacentral:snRNA from 1 species
GUACUUACCUGGUUCCGGGGCCUCGUUGAUCACUGAGGACGAGCCCCCAGUGCGAGGCGCGGGCAUUGCCCUGCGCUCGCGCUGACCCCUGCCACUACCCAAAACUGGGGCAGAUGGGGCAUGCGAAUUGC